rnacentral:tRNA from 1 species
AAGGCUUUAAGUUAACGAAACUAAUAGCCUUCAAAGCUGUAAAUAAAGGUAAAAAUUCUUUAAGCCUUA